UGUUGUUAAAGAAGAACGUGGGUGAGAGUAACUGUUCACCCAGUGACGGUAUUUAACCAGAAAGCCACGGCUAACUACGUGCCAGCAGCCGCGGUAAUACGUAGGUGGCAAGCGUUAUCCGGAUUUAUUGGGCGUAAAGCGAGCGCAGGCGGUCUUUUAAGUCUAAUGUGAAAGCCUUCGGCUCAACCGAAGAAGUGCAUUGGAAACUGGGAGACUUGAGUGCAGAAGAGGACAGUGGAACUCCAUGUGUAGCGGUGAAAUGCGUAGAUAUAUGGAAGAACACCAGUGGCGAAGGCGGCUGUCUGGUCUGUAACUGACGCUGAGGCUCGAAAGCAUGGGUAGCGAACAGGAUUAGAUACCCUGGUAGUCCAUGCCGUAAACGAUGAUUACUAAGUGUUGGAGGGUUUCCGCCCUUCAGUGCUGCAGCUAACGCAUUAAGUAAUCCGCCUGGGGAGUACGACCGCAAGGUUGAAACUCAAAAGAAUUGACGGGGGCCCGCACAAGCGGUGGAGCAUGUGGUUUAAUUCGAAGCUACGCGAAGAACCUUACCAGGUCUUGACAUCUUCUGCCAACCUAAGAGAUUAGGCGUUCCCUUCGGGGACAGAAUGACAGGUGGUGCAUGGUUGUCGUCAGCUCGUGUCGUGAGAUGUUGGGUUAAGUCCCGCAACGAGCGCAACCCUUAUUACUAGUUGCCAGCAUUCAGUUGGGCACUCUAGUGAGACUGCCGGUGACAAACCGGAGGAAGGUGGGGACGACGUCAAAUCAUCAUGCCCCUUAUGACCUGGGCUACACACGUGCUACAAUGGAUGGUACAACGAGUCGCGAAACCGCGAGGUUUAGCUAAUCUCUUAAAACCAUUCUCAGUUCGGACUGUAGGCUGCAACUCGCCUACACGAAGUCGGAAUCGCUAGUAAUCGCGGAUCAGCAUGCCGCGG
rnacentral:rRNA from 1 species